CCUACGGGACGCUGCAGUGAGGAAUAUUGGUCAAUGGACGAGAGUCUGAACCAGCCAAGUAGCGUGAAGGAUGACUGCCCUAUGGGUUGUAAACUUCUUUUAUAUGGGAAUAAAAUGUUCCACGUGUGGGAUUUUGUAUGUACCAUAUGAAUAAGGAUCGGCUAACUCCGUGCCAGCAGCCGCGGUAAUACGGAGGAUCCGAGCGUUAUCCGGAUUUAUUGGGUUUAAAGGGAGCGUAGGUGGAUUGUUAAGUCAGUUGUGAAAGUUUGCGGCUCAACCGUAAAAUUGCAGUUGAAACUGGCAGUCUUGAGUACAGUAGAGGUGGGCGGAAUUCGUGGUGUAGCGGUGAAAUGCUUAGAUAUCACGAAGAACUCCGAUUGCGAAGGCAGUUCACUGGACUGCAACUGACACUGAGGCUCGAAAGUGUGGGUAUCAAACAGGAUUAGAUACCCGUGUAGUC
rnacentral:rRNA from 1 species